rnacentral:lncRNA from 1 species
NNNNNNNNNNNNNNUGGGGCUGGUUUUUGAAUGCCUGGGGGGACCCGCGGGGGGGGGUCCGUCCGUCUGUCCGUCUGUCUGUGGGCUCCGGUUAUUGUUUAUCCCAACCUCGCCGUCACACCGCGCUGUGGGUCAGAGCGGCCCCUGCAUGACUGGGGGGGGCAUCGUGUGCUGGGACAGCGGGGAUGGAGGGGACAAAGGGGACAAAGGGGACAAAGGGGACAAAGGGGACAAAGGGGACGUUGGAGAUGUUGGGGACUUUGGGGACAAAGGAGACUUUGGGGACUUUGGGGACACUGGGGGCAUUGGGAACUUUGGGGACUUUGGGGACAAAAGAGACUUUGGGGACAUUGGGAACUUUGGGGACACUGGGAACUUUGGGGACACUGGGGACAUUGGGAUGUUUAGGGACAAAGGGGACACUGAGGACAAAGGAGAUCUUGGGGACACUGAGGACAUUGGGAACUUUAGGGACCUUGGGGACUUUGAGGACAUCGGAGACGUUGGAGACAUUGGGGACAUUGGGGACACUGGGAUCUUUGGGGACACUGGGGACGUUGGGAACUUUGAGGACAAAAGAGACUUUGGGGACAUUGGGGACUUUGGGGACACUGUGGACAUCGGGAACUUUGGGAACUUUGGGGACACUGGGAACUUUGGGACUUCAGGGACAAAGGAGAAUUUGGGGACAUUGGAGACAGAGACAUUGGGGACUUUGGGGACAAAGGAGACUUUAGGGACUUUGGGGACACUGGGGACAUUGGGGACAUUGGGAACUUUGGGGACAAAUGAGACUUUGGGGACAUUGAGGACAUUGGGAACUUUGGGGACAAAAGAGACUUUGGGGACUUUGGGGACUUUGAGGACAUUGGGGACAUUGGAGACGGAGACAUUGGGGACUUUGGGGACAAAGGAGACCCAUCGGGGUGUGGGGUAGGGCCAUUGGGUGGGACACCAUUACUGGAUAGGGGACAGCAGUGGGUGACAUUGGGACGGGGUGGGGGAUGUUAGGGAGUGGGGGGGUGCAGGUGACACCAUUGGUGGGAGAGGGGACACCAGGGGUGGAGCGGGUGACACUGGGACGGGCUGGGGGACUGUUGGUGGGAUGGGAGGGGUG